AGCUGAUAAAUGGAUUUAGGGAAGAGACUGUGGUGGGGGCCAUGAGUGCGAGUUGGGGGGAUUUUACUUUCGAAGUGAAAAUGCGCCAACACUUUACGAUCUGGUAAUGGCCUCAACAACAGUGCUUCUGAGAACUCUUCUUCAAUUUGUUCGGCAAUAAUAAUUGACCCGAAGCUCUUAAAGAGCAGAAUAAAUAGCAAAAUUGAUCUUAAU
rnacentral:lncRNA from 1 species